AGUCACAGCCAUAUCACCCUGCGUCCCAAAAUCGGUUACUCACUGAAGCUAAGCAGGGCUGAGCCUGGUCAGUACCUGGAUGGGAGACCACAUGGGAAAACUCGAUUGCUGUUGGUA
ensembl:rRNA 5S_rRNA 5S ribosomal RNA